rnacentral:rRNA from 1 species
CUUAAGUGGCGAACGGGUGAGUAACGCGUGAGUAACCUGCCCUGGAGUGGGGGACGAACAGUUGGAAACGACUGCUAAUACCGCAUAAGCCCACGGAUCCGCAUGGAUCUGCGGGAAAAGGAUUUAUUCGCUUCAGGAUGGACUCGCGUCCAAUUAGCUAGUUGGUGAGGUAACGGCCCACCAAGGCGACGAUUGGUAGCCGGACUGAGAGGUUGAACGGCCACAUUGGGACUGAGACACGGCCCAGACUCCUACGGGAGGCAGCAUG